rnacentral:tRNA from 1 species
UCCCUGGUGGUCUAGUGGUUAGGACCCAGAGCUUCUACCACUGUGGCCUGGGUACAAUCCCUAGUCUGAGAA